GGGUGAGACCAUACCAGCACUAAUGCACCGGAUCCCAACAGAACUCCGAAGUUAAGCGUGCUGCGGCGAGAGUAGAACUAGGAUGGGUGAACCCCUGGGACGUCCUCGUGUUGCACCCC
rnacentral:rRNA from 1 species